GGGGGGAGGUUGGGGGGCCCUGGGGGGGGGGGUUGGGUUCCGGCGGACAUUUCUAUUCAUGGCUUCGCCCAACAUCGCAGCUCCCACCCCCACCCCCUCCCCAACUCUCACCCCCCCCCCACCCCCCCUCCAUUCCGUGUUCUGGAAGCUUUACCUGCUGCGUGUGCCCCGCGUGGAUGUGCGGGAUUUAUAACUCGAGGAAGGAGCACGAGGGGCGAGCAAUUAACAAAUCGGUUAAUAAACCCACCCAACCCCCCCCCCCCCCCCCCCCCAGCAACGCGAAACGAGGGGUUGCAGCUCCGGGAACCAAACUACAGACCCACACGUUGGGGUGAUUGGGGGGGCUCAGGAGCAUCCUAUACCUAUGGGAACCCCAGAACAGGUCCAGCUGCGGCCUCUGCCUCCUUCCCCAACGCCUCCCCCCCCCCCCCCCGGGGCACGGCCUCUUGGGUGCCCCCCCCGCCGCCCCAAAGCCCUCCCGUCCCCUAUAUGUACCCUGUAGACUCGAAUUUGUGUGAGCGUCUCCGAGUCGCAAAUUCGUCUCUAGGGAAUAUAUGGGCGAUGCCAGAGCCUUGGGAAGUUGCGUUUUCCUUUUGAUUCCCUUUAAUUGCGGCGCCUCUAAUUAAAUCCUCAAAUCCUGCUGAUGUCAUUUUAAAAGCAGAACCAGCAGCCACCGCAAACACAACUCUCAGCCAAGAGCACAAAGAGCCCCGACCAUUUCGCGGUGACUGAUUUAUGGCGUUUUACAACCCCAUAAAAAGCUGUAACAACCAGCCAAAAGCCUUCGACACCGCUGGCACAUUUAGUCUAAUAAAUAAAACAUAAACAGUUAACUUUAUGUGUCACUUUUAUUGUUAUCAAGUAAAAUAUGGCAAUGCCUUGCAAGCGAUGAUUUUCAGCUAUAAUUGUUAUCAAGCGCGAGGAGGGAAUACCCCACCUCCCUCCUCUGCCCCUCUCUUUAGUGCCAACCAUAGAUAAACAGCUCUAAUUGGGGGAGCUCCGACCCUCCCCAAAUGUUCACAUCCGCUCGCUGCUCCCUAACCUGCCCGGGGUUGACGCCUGGGAGCCAUUUUUAAAGCAUCUCUUUG
ensembl:lncRNA